UCUAAAUAAAGGAGGAAAAGACUGGAUGAGGAGCUGCAGGAAAACCAGGUUUACAGCUCAAACAAAACCUGAGCAACUGCUGAUCAGUAACAGAUUAUCUUAUUUUUCAUUAAUGUUAUUAUUAGUUUACAUGACGUGCUGUCCUGUCUUAUGUGAAAUAAACAACAAAAUAAACAAACACAUUUUCUAGGUAGCCAAAAGCUAAUUAGCAAACCCAGCUAUUGGCUGGAUUUUCUAUAAGUGAAGAUAAAGCUAAUCAGAGCCCAAACAUGCAUGAUCGUGAUGAUCAGCAACAUGGUUGAAUAAACACUUACACGUGUUUUUUAAUACAAUCAGGAUGGUGUUCAUUUAAAAAAUUGCUUAAAUACAUGUAGAUAUUAGUUAACAGCAGCGUAAUUCAGCAGCAAGCUAGCUAAAACAACAUUGACAUUUCACGACAUUACGGCAAAAUCUAAAUCCUGUACCGUCUUAAUCCGCCUAAACGAGCUGUAAUGCUUUUAAUUGUUUUAAGUUUUUUUUAAUUACAAAUAAAAAUGAUAAAAGAUAGUUCCUUCUCAUCUCUCAGAUCUCGGAGCGGAGCAAUGGCGGAUCGCUCGGAUAGGCUGUGAGCAUCCCGCUCUCUGAUUCGUCGGCAAAAAUGUCAGUGUAGAAAAAAUAAAAAAAAUACGGCCAUUUGAUUGGUCAAUCUAAUGGUACAAAUAGAACAACAACUGCCCCUCACGUGAGAGGCACGGUGCGGACAUUGGUGCGGCCGUUAGCUUUUCCUUCUGCGACGAGGAGCUGACGCAGCAACAUCAAACUUUUGUCCUGUCUGCUCAUUUGACUGUUUUAACAGGCUUCCAGAACAAGUCGGAGACCUGUCAUCUGCAGAAAGACUCAAGACGACUCUGCAGUCGUCGGGUUUAUGAGGGAUGGUCAAGAGUACAGAGAGCUGGCGGACCACUUUGUGGCGUGGUGUGGGGACACUCACAUAAUCUUGAAUGUGAACAAAACAAAUGAGAUGAUUUAGAAAGAAACGGGAAGAGCUCAACAUGCAUUAUUGGGGAGUAGGGGGAGGUGGUGGAAGAUUACAGAUACCUCGGUGUUCAUCUGGACAACAGACUGGACUGGAGACACAAGCGUGAAGCCUACAAGAAGGGACAGAGUAGACUGUAUAUCUUGAAUAAUAAUUUAGAUCCUUCAAGGUCUGCAGCAAGAGGCUGCAGAUCUUUUACAGGUCUGUUGAGAUCUCUUGGGCCACCAGCUGUUGGGGCAGCAGCAUCAGAGCCUGCAGGGACCUAAAAAGGCUCAACAACCUGGCAACAAAGGCUGGUUCUGUUCUGGAGACGACUGAGGACCAUGCACUGGAGAUGAUGGUGCAAAGAAGGACUUUUCAUAUAAUCAAUAACAUUAUAGACAACACUGAGCAUCUUCUUCAGAGCUGCUGUAACGCAGCAGAUCCUUCCUGCCCACAGCCACAACCACUCAGAUUUCCAACUGAGCUCAUUAUUAUUACUUGUAUUUAUUUUAAUGACUGCUUUGAAGAAUUAGUUAAGACAACACUUAACUUCCUUCUGAGAUUAAUAAAGUCAUUUUGGACUUUAAACAGAGACUGUGGAGUCGACAAAGAAACCCAAUAAUGAACCGGUGACACUGCUGAACUCAAAUGUGUUUGUGAUGUUCUCUAACGUGUAAUAAAUGUGGCUUGUAUAAAAUCCACUCCACCGCCUGCUGCUCAGCAGAGUUUCUCACGUGUGACGAGGUUUUCGCUCCACGUUUGCUGGCUGUUUACCUGUGAACCACACCUGGUUUGUUGUUGGGAUUUUUGUCCUGUCACGAUUUCUAACCUUUGUCCUCAGUGGUUUAUGAAUUUCCUCACCCAAGCUCCUGUUUUCCUGUAAACUCCUCCAAAGAUGUGCUAUUUACACCUGAUAAGGACGGGAGAUUGGAUGCGUCGAGGAGCUGAGGGACCAAGCUCUUUUCUUCUGUAAAUAAAUGAUCUGACAAGAAUACUAACAAUCUAAAUGUGUUAAACAACCUGCUGUACACAUGGACAUGUAAAGAAAAGAACUUCACAAUAAAAGCUCACUGCAAGAA